rnacentral:rRNA from 1 species
UACGUAGGGUGCAAGCGUUAAUCGGAAUUACUGGGCGUAAAGCGUGCGCAGGCGGCUAUGCAAGACAGAUGUGAAAUCCCCGGGCUCAACCUGGGAACUGCAUUUGUGACUGCAUAGCUAGAGUACGGUAGAGGGGGAUGGAAUUCCGCGUGUAGCAGUGAAAUGCGUAGAUAUGCGGAGGAACACCGAUGGCGAAGGCAAUCCCCUGGACCUGGUACUGACGCUCAUGCACGAAACGCGUGGGGAGCCAAACAGG